CAUAAUAGCGCCUCUGUCGGUGCCCAGCGGCUACAUGUAAGCCAAUGCGGCCUAAGAGGGAACACGAGCAGAUCGUUCUGUAGCGUGGCUGCCCCCGCAACUGUAAGCAGCGAGCGCCUUGCCAAUCGCCACUGGGAAACCGGGAAGGCCGGCCAGGCGCCAUGACCUGCGAGCCAGGAGACCUGCCGACCGAUUCAGUCGCAU
rnacentral:ncRNA from 2 species